AGACUUAGUCUCUCCUUGUAUUUCUCCAUAAUAAUAUGAGGUAUGUCGUUAAUCCCUAACAAACUAACCUUCUUAUCGGAGUAAAAUUCCUCUAUAUAAACAAGCAAAGUUCUUUUCCUUCCUACAAGUGAUCAGAAACACGAGAGCUUAAUUUGUUAUUCAUAUUAUUGUUCUUUGUUUUCACAACAUAUAUACCAAGUGCUCGAUUUAUAUAUCAUCCUAAUUCCCUGCCUCAUAUGCGGAUCGGUCUUUCAUUGUCAAUGAAGAUGGAUUCCCAUAAAUGGUGACUAUCCUGUUGGUUAUGGAAGAUGAUAUUAGGCCAUCAACACUAGCGGUUAAUGUCUUGACAAAGCUCUGCUGUAUCAUUCCUAUAUGGAAAAUCAUCAAUAGUCAUGAAAGUAUUGAUGCUGCUUACAAAGGUCGUGAAGUUAGACAAGAGAUUCGAUCAAAUCCUUAUUGCUACAAAGGCAGCCUACGCCUUUUAACCUGCAAUCAACUUCUAAAAGUCAGUUUAGUUUAGAUCUGGAGCAAAGACUUGAAGAGGUUUCAAUACCAUUCCUACUAGUCCAUGGGGAAGAGGACGAGGUGAGGUAUCCAUCAGUGAGCAAUCUUCUCUAUGAAUCAGCUUCUAGCAAAGACAAGAGCUUCAAAUUGUAUCCAUGGAUGUGGCAUUCUCUCACCUAUGGUGAAUUACCGGAAAACAUUGACACUGUUUUUGAAGAUGUUACUUCUUGGUUGGAUGACAGAGUUGCUAGGAGAGGAGAUCCAUGUUUUGGAUGGCCGACUCUCUCCUCUUUUCCUCUAUUAAAAUAUGGGCCGUCCAAAACACGGCAUCUUGUCAAAUAAGAAAAUGCCUCAUUGGAUCAACUUGUUGCCGUUGGUAUUUUGUAUUACUACAAUUGUUGGUUAGGGCUUAAUGGGUAAAAUUCUUCCCUGGUUGCCUUUGGCCAAGAGUGAAUAUCUUGAAAUUUGAUAAGAGAUUUUUAGAUGUGGAAAUCCUGUAAAGUAAAACCUAAAAAAAAUAUGUUUUGUACUUUUUGAACCAUGUUGAUUUCAUCAUUCAUAUUUCACACUUCACAUUGUAAGAAAUGUUAUUAUUGAGAACAAAUUGUGUGAUAAUAGGCUUGCUUAUAUGAUAAGCGUGAUUGUUUUACGGCAGCGAAACCUUUGGCAACCAGAACUUCUCCUAUUUGUUGAAAGCUUGGAAAAGAAUUAGAAGAGGGCAUUUGUUUCCAAUUUUCCAUGCCUUUGAAGGCGCUAGAACACUGGAAUUGUUG